rnacentral:rRNA from 1 species
UACGUAGGGGGCAAGCGUUAUCCGGAUUUACUGGGUGUAAAGGGAGCGUAGACGGCGGUGCAAGCCAGAUGUGAAAGCCCGGGGCUCAACCCCGGGACUGCAUUUGGAACUGUAUGGCUGGAGUGUCGGAGAGGCAAGUGGAAUUCCUAGUGUAGCGGUGAAAUGCGUAGAUAUUAGGAGGAACACCAGUGGCGAAGGCGGCUUGCUGGACGAUGACUGACGUUGAGGCUCGAAAGCGUGGGGAGCAAACAGG